rnacentral:rRNA from 1 species
UACGUAGGGGGCUAGCGUUGUCCGGAAUCAUUGGGCGUAAAGAGCGUGUAGGCGGACCUGCAAGUCGGGGGUGAAAGCCCGAGGCUCAACCUCGGAACUGCCUUCGAUACUGCGGGUCUCGAGUCCGGGAGAGGUGAGUGGAAUUCCUAGUGUAGAGGUGAAAUUCGUAGAUAUUAGGAAGAACACCAGUGGCGAAGGCGGCUCACUGGCCCGGUACUGACGCUGAGGCGCGAAAGCGUGGGGAGCAAACAGG